CCUACGGGAGGCAGCAGUGAGGAAUAUUGGUCAAUGGGCGCGAGCCUGAACCAGCCAAGUAGCGUGAAGGAUGACUGCCCUACGGGUUGUAAACUUCUUUUAUAAAGGAAUAAAGUGAGGCACGUGUGCCUUUUUGUAUGUACUUUAUGAAUAAGGAUCGGCUAACCCCGUGCCAGCAGCCGCGGUAAUGCGGAGGAUCCGAGCGUUAUCCGGAUUUAUUGGGUUUAAAGGGAGCGUAGGUGGGUUGUUAAGUCAGUUGUGAAAGUUUGGGGCUCAACCGUAAAAUUGCAAUUGAUACUGGCAGCCUUGAGUGCAGUUGAGGUAGGCGGAAUUCGUGGUGUAGCGGUGAAAUGCUUAGAUAUCACGAAGAACUCCGAUUGCGAAGGCAGCUUACUAGACUGCCACUGACGUUGAUGCUCGAAAGUGUGGGUAUCAAACAGGAUUAGAUACCCGAGUAGUC
rnacentral:rRNA from 1 species